AAGAGGGAAGCAAAGAGGACGCGACCCAGAAAGGAGGAGAACCCCAUAUUUUUCUCACUGUUUUGAAGCAGCAACAAGAGAAGAAGCAGAAGCUGAAGACGAAGGGAAGAAGAAAAGUGUGAAGAGUCGCAGUGUUCUACAGUACUGAGGUCAAUUUGGUUUUGGUCUUUUGGUUUGAUUCGUCAAAGUGUUAAACAAUUUAAGGUUGUGACAUUCGGAAUAAAUUGUUUUGCAAGAAAAACACAUAUGCUGCUUAAGCUUAACACUUUUAUUUUUGUCAUAAUCACAUAUGCUUAUCUUACCGCUUUAUUUUACUCCCUCAAAAAAGAAAAAAAAAACUUACCGCUUUACUCAUUUUUUUUAGUAACCUUUGAUUUGAACUAAUUUAAUUUGCAAUUGCUUUAAGAUUAAAGUACGCGUGACUCCGUACGAUUUUGUUGUUGUUGUUGUUUUUUGAAGUGGAUUUUGUUGAUUUCUAUUUUUAAUGAAGAAUUUGGGGAUUUUUUUUUCUGAGUAGAAUUUCGGGGUAUAAAAUAAAUCUUAAGGGAUGGGUUGAAAAAUUAUUAAUAAUAUGGGAUGACGAUUAAAAUAAAUAAUUGUUCUUGUUAAAAAUAGUUAAAAACCAUUCUUUAAUUAGAAUUAAAGUUAAAGAAAGUUAACUAAUGAAAAAACUUGAGAGAGGGGUUGAUUGAAAAAGUUGCAGAAAUAUGAGAAGAAUUAAUAGUUUGCCUUAAAUUAAAAGGUUAGAAUCUUAAAAGUCUCACUUACAUAUUUUUCUUUGAAGAUAUAUAAUUGACCCGUGAUUAAAAAAAAUUAUAAGUUGGAUUCUUCUCGUUAAUAAUAAUUCACAUUUAUUGAUAAAAAAUACCUUUGUUUGAUUUUUAUCGAUAAAAAAAACUUAACUAUUUUGACUUAUUAUUUAUUUAUUUAAAAAAGUGAUCAACACUCCCCUCCUAUUGAUUUCUAAAUUGCGAUAUGACAUGCCAUUCGGGCUGCUGACCAUUUUUAUUUUUUAUAAAAUUUCUACCACGUUAGAAAGGUUUGAAUCUUAAUGUAGCUAGUUAUUGCCCGUUGGAUGCGAGAAUCAGCUUUUUUACACUUCAACAUUUGCAGCCUUUAUGCCCAACUUUUUUUUUACUUAAUAUGAGACUAAUAACUUGGCAUACAUGAUACAAACCCCACGUUAAUAUGUUGUAUCACCUUGACGCUGAUAAUUGUAGGCAGAAAUGAUGCUAUCUUAGUACAUUUCAAAUAAAAUUUCACCAGGAUAAUUUAUUUUGUGUCAUUGUAUGGUCAAGUAUACCCUAUGCUUUGUGGAAAAUCGAUUGUGUAUAGUCUGUGGUACUACUGAAAUCGUUAGAGAAGUUGCUCACUUUGGAAAAUGGAAGGAGACACCCAAGAGAAAGUAAAAGUUUAAAGAAACAUGCACAAGACUAAACAUUCCAUAUAUGACAAAGUGCUUGUUCUUGAUUGCCAAACUAGGUGGGCAUCUACCUUUUGAUGCUUGAUGCAGCCAUACCACAGAAAGAAGUUUUUUGUCACCUGACACAACACAACAAACAUGACAACAACCUCACCAUAUAUCUCUGCCAAGUGAAGAUGACUGGAAUAUGGCAAAGGUAGCUUGGUUUGUUGAAUUUCUUUUUUCCUCAAAUAUAUAUGUAGAAAAUGCAUGUCAUGAAAUUGAGAAGGUAAAAACUGUUUGAGAAUAUUUAUUAUGGAGUAUACCAACAAAUUCAUAGAAAACAAGACAUGGAACAAUAUUAUCUAAAUUCAGAAUAUAUAUCUGAAUUGAGAUUGUAAUAGGAUGAUUUCUUUCUACUGAUGCAGGUAAAGAAUGAGCAAAUUGGGGCAAAC
rnacentral:lncRNA from 1 species